rnacentral:rRNA from 1 species
GACGAACGCUGGCGGCGUGCCUAAUACAGGCAAGUCGAGCGGAUCUUGUCCUUCGGGACAAGGUUAGCGGCGGACGGGUGAGUAACACGUAGGCAACCUGCCCUCAAGACUGGGAUAACCUCCGGAAACGGAUGCUAAUACCGGAUAUGCGGUCUCUCCUCCUGGAGGGAUCGGGAAAGACGGAGCAAUCUGUCGCUUGGGGAUGGGCCUGCGGCGCAUUAGCUAGUUGGUGGGGUAACGGCUCACCAAGGCGACGAUGCGUAGCCGACCUGAGAGGGUGAUCGGCCACACUGGGACUGAGACACGGCCCA